rnacentral:rRNA from 1 species
GGUUAAGCGACUAAGCGUACACGGUGGAUGCCCUGGCAGUCAGAGGCGAUGAAGGACGUGCUAAUCUGCGAAAAGCGUCGGUAAGGUGAUAUGAACCGUUAUAACCGGCGAUGUCCGAAUGGGGAAACCCAGUGCAAUUCGUUGCACUAUCGUUAACUGAAUACAUAGGUUAACGAGGCGAACCGGGGGAACUGAAACAUCUAAGUACCCCGAGGAAAAGAAAUCAACCGAGAUUCCCCCAGUAGCGGCGAGCGAACGGGGAGCAGCCCAGAGUCUGAAUCAGCUUGUGUGUUAGUGGAACGGUCUGGAAAGUCCGACGGUACAGGGUGAUAGUCCCGUACACCAAAAUGCACAGGCUGUGAACUCGAAGAGUAGGGCGGGACACGUGGUAUCCUGUCUGAAUAUGGGGGGACCAUCCUCCAAGGCUAAAUACUCCUGACUGACCGAUAGUGAACCAGUACCGUGAGGGAAAGGCGAAAAGAACCCCGGCGAGGGGAGUGAAAAAGAACCUGAAACCGUGUACGUACAAGCAGUGGGAGCACCUUCGGGUGUGACUGCGUACCUUUUGUAUAAUGGGUCAGCGACUUAUAUUCUGUAGCAAGGUUAACCGUAUAGGGGAGCCGCAGGGAAACCGAGUCUUAACUGGGCGUUAAGUUGCAGGGUAUAGACCCGAAACCCGGUGAUCUAGCCAUGGGCAGGUUGAAGGUUGGGUAACACUAACUGGAGGACCGAACCGACUAAUGUUGAAAAAUUAGCGGAUGACUUGUGGCUGGGGGUGAAAGGCCAAUCAAACCGGGAGAUAGCUGGUUCUCCCCGAAAGCUAUUUAGGUAGCGCCUCGUGAAUUCAUCUUCGGGGGUAGAGCACUGUUUCGGCUAGGGGGUCAUCCCGACUUACCAACCCGAUGCAAACUACGAAUACCGAAGAAUGUUAUCACGGGAGACACACGGCGGGUGCUAACGUCCGUCGUGAAGAGGGAAACAACCCAGACCGCCAGCUAAGGUCCCAAAGUCAUGGUUAAGUGGGAAACGAUGUGGGAAGGCACAGACAGCCAGGAUGUUGGCUUAGAAGCAGCCAUCAUUUAAAGAAAGCGUAAUAGCUCACUGGUCGAGUCGGCCUGCGCGGAAGAUGUAACGGGGCUAAACCAUGCACCGAAGCUGCGGCAGCGACACUAUGUGUUGUUGGGUAGGGGAGCGUUCUGUAAGCCUGCGAAGGUGUGCUGUGAGGCAUGCUGGAGGUAUCAGAAGUGCGAAUGCUGACAUAAGUAACGAUAAAGCGGGUGAAAAGCCCGCUCGCCGGAAGACCAAGGGUUCCUGUCCAACGUUAAUCGGGGCAGGGUGAGUCGACCCCUAAGGCGAGGCCGAAAGGCGUAGUCGAUGGGAAACAGGUUAAUAUUCCUGUACUUGGUGUUACUGCGAAGGGGGGACGGAGAAGGCUAUGUUAGCCGGGCGACGGUUGUCCCGGUUUAAGCAUGUAGGCUGGUUGUCCAGGCAAAUCCGGAUAAUCAAGGCUGAGGUGUGAUGACGAGGCACUACGGUGCUGAAGUAACAAAUGCCCUGCUUCCAGGAAAAGCCUCUAAGCAUCAGGUAACAUCAAAUCGUACCCCAAACCGACACAGGUGGUCAGGUAGAGAAUACCAAGGCGCUUGAGAGAACUCGGGUGAAGGAACUAGGCAAAAUGGUGCCGUAACUUCGGGAGAAGGCACGCUGGUGUGUAGGUGAAGUCCCUGCGGAUGGAGCUGAGACCAGUCGAAGAUACCAGCUGGCUGCAACUGUUUAUUAAAAACACAGCACUGUGCAAACACGAAAGUGGACGUAUACGGUGUGACGCCUGCCCGGUGCCGGAAGGUUAAUUGAUGGGGUUAUCCGUAAGGAGAAGCUCUUGAUCGAAGCCCCGGUAAACGGCGGCCGUAACUAUAACGGUCCUAAGGUAGCGAAAUUCCUUGUCGGGUAAGUUCCGACCUGCACGAAUGGCGUAAUGAUGGCCAGGCUGUCUCCACCCGAGACUCAGUGAAAUUGAACUCGCUGUGAAGAUGCAGUGUACCCGCGGCAAGACGGAAAGACCCCGUGAACCUUUACUAUAGCUUGACACUGAACAUUGAGCCUUGAUGUGUAGGAUAGGUGGGAGGCUUUGAAGCGUGGACGCCAGUCUGCGUGGAGCCAACCUUGAAAUACCACCCUUUAAUGUUUGAUGUUCUAACGUUGGCCCCUUACCGGGGUUGCGGACAGUGUCUGGUGGGUAGUUUGACUGGGGCGGUCUCCUCCCAAAGCGUAACGGAGGAGCACGAAGGUUAGCUAAUCCUGGUCGGACAUCAGGAGGUUAGUGCAAUGGCAUAAGCUAGCUUGACUGCGAGCGUGACGGCGCGAGCAGGUGCGAAAGCAGGUCAUAGUGAUCCGGUGGUUCUGAAUGGAAGGGCCAUCGCUCAACGGAUAAAAGGUACUCCGGGGAUAACAGGCUGAUACCGCCCAAGAGUUCAUAUCGACGGCGGUGUUUGGCACCUCGAUGUCGGCUCAUCACAUCCUGGGGCUGAAGUAGGUCCCAAGGGUAUGGCUGUUCGCCAUUUAAAGUGGUACGCGAGCUGGGUUUAGAACGUCGUGAGACAGUUCGGUCCCUAUCUGCCGUGGGCGCUGGAGAAUUGAGGGGGGCUGCUCCUAGUACGAGAGGACCGGAGUGGACGCAUCACUGGUGUUCGGGUUGUCAUGCCAAUGGCACUGCCCGGUAGCUAAAUGCGGAAGAGAUAAGUGCUGAAAGCAUCUAAGCACGAAACUUGCCCCGAGAUGAGUUCUCCCUGAGACUUUAAGUCUCCUGAAGGAACGUUAAAGACGAUGACGUUGAUAGGCCGGGUGUGUAAGCGCAGCGAUGCGUUGAGCUAACCGGUACUAAUGAACCGUGAGGCUUAACCUU